UACGUAGGGUGCGAGCGUUAAUCGGAAUUACUGGGCGUAAAGCGUGCGCAGGCGGUUCGCCAAGUCAGGUGUGAAAUCCCCGGGCUUAACCUGGGAAUUGCGCUUGAAACUAGCGGGCUUGAGUGUGGCAGAGGGGGGUGGAAUUCCACGUGUAGCAGUGAAAUGCGUAGAGAUGUGGAGGAACACCAGAGGCGAAGGCGGCGUCCUGGCCCACAACUGACGCUCAUACACGACAGCAUGGGGAGCGAACGGG
rnacentral:rRNA from 1 species